GGUUCCGUGGUGCAGUUGGUUAGCGCAUCGUACUAAUAUUUCCUUCUCUGAAUGAAUCAUUAAUAUGCGAAAGUCGAGGGUUCGAGCCCCUCCGGGACCA
rnacentral:tRNA from 1 species